AGGGUUUGAUCCUGGCUCAGAUUGUACGCUGGCGGCAUGCCUUACACAUGCAAGUCGAACGGCAGCACGGGGGCAACCCUGGUGGCGAGUGGCGAACGGGUGAGUAAUAUAUCGGAACGUGUCCUGUAGCGGGGGAUAACCUAUCGAAAGAUGGACUAAUACCGCAUACGACCUACGGGUGAAAGCGGAGGACCGCAAGGCUUCGCACUAUAGGAGCGGCCGAUAUCGGAUUAGCUAGUUGGUGAGGUAAAAGCUCACCAAGGCGACGAUCCGUAGCUGGUCUGAGAGGACGACCAGCCACACUGGAACUGAGACACGGUCCAGACUCCUACGGGAGGCAGCAGUGGGGAAUUUUGGACAAUGGGCGCAAGCCUGAUCCAACCAUGCCGCGUGAGUGAAGAAGGCCUUCGGGUUGUAAAGCUCUUUCGGCGGGGACGAAAUGGUUCGUGCUAAUACCACGGACUGAUGACGGUACCCGCAGAAGAAGCACCGGCUAACUACGUGCCAGCAGCCGCGGUAAUACGUAGGGUGCAGGCGUUAAUCGGAAUUACUGGGCGUAAAGCGUGCGCAGGCGGUUUGUUAAGACAGAUGUGAAAUCCCCGGGCUUAACCUGGGAACUGCGUUUGUAACUGGCAGACUGGAGUGUGGCAGAGGGGGGUGGAAUUCCAAGUGUAGCAGUGAAAUGCGUAGAUAUUUGGAGGAACACCGAUGGCGAAGGCAGCCCCCUGGGCUAACACUGACGCUCAUGCACGAAAGCGUGGGGAGCAAACAGGAUUAGAUACCCUGGUAGUCCACGCCCUAAACUAUGUCAACUGGUUGUCGGGGAAGCAAUUCCUUGGUAACGAAGCUAACGCGUGAAGUUG
rnacentral:rRNA from 1 species